AGUAGCGGCGAGCGAACGGGGAUUAGCCCUUAAGUUAAUACAUUGUUAGUGGAACAGUCUGGAAAGUCUGGCGAUACAGGGUGAUAGCCCCGUACACGAAAACGUGUAUUAGUGAAAACGAGUAGGUCGGAGCACGUGAAACUUUGACUGAACAUGGGGGGACCAUCCUCCAAGGCUAAAUACUCCUUACUGACCGAUAGUGAACCAGUACCGUGAGGGAAAGGCGAAAAGAACCCCGGAGAGGGGAGUGAAAUAGAUCCUGAAACCGUAUGCGUACAAGCAGUGGGAGCACCCUCGUGGUGUGACUGCGUACCUUUUGUAUAAUGGGUCAGCGACUUAAUCUCAGUGGCAAGCUUAACCGAAUAGGGGAGGCGUAGCGAAAGCGAGUCUUAAUAGGGCGUUUAGUCGCUGGGAUUAGACCCGAAACCGGGCGAUCUAUCCAUGACCAGGCUGAAGGUGAGGUAAUACUUACUGGAGGGCCGAACCCACGUAUGUUGAAAAAUCCGGGGAUGAGUUGUGGAUCGGAGUGAAAGGCUAAUCAAGCUCGGAGAUAGCUGGUUCUCCUCGAAAGCUAUUUAGGUAGCGCCUCGUGUAUAACUGUUGGGGGUAGAGCACUGUUUCGGCUAGGGGGUCAUCUCGACUUACCAACCCGAUGCAAACUCCGAAUACCAACAAGUUUGAGCACGGGAGACACACGGCGGGUGAUAAGGUCCGUCGUGGAAAGGGAAACAGCCCAGACCGUCAGCUAAGGUCCCAAAAUCUAUGCUCAGUGGGAAACGAUGUGGAAAGGCACAGACAGCCAGGAGGUUGGCUUAGAAGCAGCCAUCCUUUAAAGAAAGCGUAAUAGCUCACUGGUC
rnacentral:sRNA from 1 species